UGGGACGGAAGUGACGGUGCGGGCCUGCUGCAUUCAGUUGUGAAGGAGCGUCUCUGGACCGGAAAGUGGAGUAUAAAAAGGGUUGAGCUGUAUGUGUUUGUUUGUGGCCAUCUUAGUGGAGAACCAGGCCUCUAGGAAUUCCCAUGCGUGUCUCUGCUUGGCCUGUCCCAGGAUCCUGGUGUUGUCCCAAUCACACUGGUGGAUUUCCUUAUCCAUGUGGAUGGAGAUAAAACUCCCACCUACAUUGUUUUCCUCGGGGACCUGUGCACUUUGGGAGAUCCUGAUCUCUCUUGCAUUCCAGACGAGCAGCGAUGGAUAAACUCCCGUCAGUCCUGAUUUUCCUGUGCAUCUUUGUGGAGAAUGUUCCGGGCUCCCCCGUGCUGUCCCAGUGGCCGGCCAGACUGAGGCGCCAGCGAGGCAGCAAUGUGAUGCUGCCGUGCGAGCUACGGAGCGAUGGCAGGCCGAUUGGCACCACCUACACCUACUGAGUGUCCUGUGGAAUUGGAGCCUGUGCCGCUCUAUGUUUUUCUUCUGUUGAAGACCCUGUUUUUACUGCUCUUCGUGCGUGUGUGUACCCUGAGAAAGCCACAUCUCCAGCCUGUCCUCUGACAGUAUUCUCUGUGCCAUAGCAAACAUGAGAACCCUCGGAAUUCCUCUUCAAUUCACAGAAAGGAAAUGUUAGGAAUUAAAUUGGGAAUGCCACAGUGACCUGGGAUGAUGUUGUCAAAGAACAGAACAAGAGAGAGAGGAGUGGGGGCUUAAACCUUACAGCCUGUUCAGAGUCUGAGUCUCUCCUGUGUUCUGGACUGUCAUUUCAGAGUCGGCCAGGAGGAGGUAGCAGAUGCUCACAUAUUCUCUGUAUUCAGUCAUCAAUGUGUGAAAGCUGUUAGGUUAAAUAUCUGUGAGCUAUCCCUCCUUCAUAUCAUCAAUGUAUAUAUAAGACUAAAUAACUCAGGAGUGAGUUACAGACUGGAAUCUAAUCGAGGGGUUUGGGGUAGUUUAUACACAGAAUAACAGAUACCUGGGAAGGAGUUACAGACUGGAUAAUAAUCAAGGGGUUGGGGGGUGGUUUAUAUACAGAAUAACGGAUACCUGGGAGGGAGUUACAGACUUAACACUGGUUCGAUGUGAUCACUGGUACGAGUUGCUGAGGUGAAUUAUUUUGGUGAAGCUGGGUGCUGCUUGGGGCAUGUUCACACUGAAGAGGAAAACUGGGAAGCGAAGAGGGAUCCUCUGUCACAAACGCACCAUAUUAGCUCAUUGUUUCCCCUCUCAGAUGCUCGUGUGUCUGGGGAAUUCUUUACCACAGAGGGCUGUUAUUGAUCAGUGAUUCAGUAUAGUCAGAUCAGAGAAAUGGAGUUUUAUAAUCGGUAAGGGAAUCGAGGGGUUCUGGGGAAAAAGGCAUGAAGGUGGGAGUUGAAGAUGAUCAUACGAGACAUUGAAUGGCAGUGCACACCUGAUGGGCCGAAUGGCCUACUUGUGAUCCUACGUCUUGUCUCAGUUAUUGUUGUAUAGUUCUGCUUCACCCAGACACACAGUAAUUGAACUCGCUGGAGAUAUUGCUAUCUCUUUAUCGAUGUUACCGCCCCUUUCUGUUCCUAAACUCUCAACCUAAAAUUUACACAGGAACAACACAAUUCCUGGCCUUGGAUGAAUAAAGUUCAUUCAGCACAGAAGUGUAAAUCUUC